rnacentral:lncRNA from 1 species
UUUCGAGUGAUUAAAUAAAUCGCGGCUUGGUAGGCUGCCGGAUCCUCGGUGCGCAGUUGCUGCUUGCGCUCGGCUACCCGAGCCUGUUCUUGUGCCCGG